GUAAUCAACCAUUUGACGACAUGAUAGCACGAAAGUUCUAUGUGGGCCUCUAUCAUCAAAUUUAAAGAUUCAAUGGUGGAUCAAUCUUCAGAAUGACAUCAUGAAGAUCUUGUCUUUAUGAGGACAAGAUCUGCAUAGCGUAAGUGUAUGAUGUGGGAGCACCCUUUGGGUCCAUAGAGUAGUCCAUAAAAGUCUAAUAAUUCAAGCUUUUCUAUUUAAUUUGGUUUAUAAAUUGCUUAGGUCUAAUUAUUAUUUACAUCUCUUUUAGUAAUUGAUGUAUUUAGAUUAAAAAAGUAGCUAGGGUAUACUGUUUACAUAACUGUAACAAUAUAUGCUAUAGACUAUAGUAAUCAUGGUCAUUAAGGAGUCCUACUAAGAGUCAAAGGGGUGUUGAAACAGUGAGAUUUUUAAAGGAUUUGUAACAACCCAGGAUCUCACCCAAAAUGGUUAGCCGGAAGGUAUUAUUUGAAUUUCUUAAUUCUGUAUAAGUACCCAAGAUCUACCAAGAAAAUAACCGAUGUGGGACUAAACACACGCCUGCACGGAUCCUCACAUACUCUUUCUAUUCAAGCCUUGACGUCAUCGUCAAGCUAAGGAUUCAAAUCUAUUCACAAACACCACGAUCGGCUCAUGAUCAGCUACAAUGGAUCCGUAUUGUAGUGUCCCCUAGUCCACAUAGGUUAUGAGCUAGGUUUGCUCUAAUACCAUUUAUAACAACCCAGGACCUUAUCCAAAAUGAUUAGCUGAAAGGUAUUAUUUGGGCUUUUUGAUCCUAUAUAAGUACCCAUAAUCUACCUAACGAAUAAUCGAUGUGGGACUAAACUCACGUCCGCACGAGUCUUCAUAUACUCCCUCCGUUCAAGCCUUGACGUCCUUAUCAGGCUAAGGGUUCAAAUCCAUUCAAAUCUAAUCACAAAUACCAUGAUCGGCUCGUAGUCAAUUUCAAUGGAUCCGUGCUGCAGUGUCAUCUAGUCUAAAUAGGUUAUGGACCGGGUCCAUUCUGAUACUAUUUAUGACAAUCCAGAACCUCACCCAAAAUGGCUAGCCGGAAGGUAUUAUUUGGAUUUCUUGAUCCUGUAUAAGUACCCAUGAUCUACCCGGUGAAUAAUUGAUGUGGGACUAAAAUACGCCCGCACGUUAUGAAUCAUUGAUUUGAUCAUUAUCCUCAAUGAAAGUAGGAAUAUAGGAUUAUUGUUAAGAAAAUUGAUGAGACUAGUAGAUACAGUGGUAAGAGGAGACUUAACAAUAAGGUCGCCGAGCCGGAACUUGAUGCUGUACCGAUCAACCAUUGGUACGGUAUUGGUACCGAUUUGGUUCCGUUCUGAUACAUGGUAUGGGGUGGCGCACUAGUCAUCUAAUUCGUAUGCCAUUUUCUUUAUUUUUUUUAUAUUUUCUCAAUCUUUUUUUUUGUUUCCACUUAUUAUUUUGGUGAUUAUAGUCUAAUUUGUAAUUUUCACUUUCUUUGGGUUAUGAAAUUGAAUUGAAGUAUAAUUAAAGUAUUUAUAAGUGAAUAUACAUACAAUAUAACAAAUGGAGUAGAUUUAAUGUAUUUAAAGUAUAAAAUAAGUAUUGUUAUCUAAAAUUUUGUGGAGUGUCGAUGUCUCUUGUUAGGUGUUAGGAUCAUGAUCGUAGUUCAGGCCUAGGAUACUGCUAAAGAUUCUAAGAAGGCUACCCUAUCUUCUUGCAUUCUUUCAUAAUGUGUGCUCUUUGGAUAGCCAUCUUGAUACUGAUCCUCUGUUUGAUACUAGGCCGUUAGAAGGUCGCGGCAGCAAAAUUCGACACGUAAAUUAUUUGAGAUUGUAAAUUAUAGUAUCCACUUGAAUAUAAUGCUUUAGACAAAUUAUAUUCAUGCGUGUCAUAACCUGGCUGUGUGGAAUAGGAUCAUGUGUACAACUUAAAUCUAGAAAUGUCCGGAGAUCCUACUCCACGUAUGAGAUUAUCUGCAAUAACAUCUUACCCCUAAUGAUCUUGAAGGGUCUGUUUUCCGUAUACGAUGAUAUCCUUGCAGGCUCUACCAAGUCAUGCUCCGUGGCCCCUAUCCUAUGUAGCAAGAGUGAACUAGGGCUCACUAGUGAGUCAAAGAUCUUGAGGCUGUGAAUGUGAGCUAUAUACUGUCGUGCCAUAUCCUCUGCUACCUUCUUGGCCACUAGAUGCUUCAUCGCUCAAAUUGUCAUCACCAUUGGUAUCACGGGACGAUCUAGGCAACUGGCUCGUUCGUCUUUGAAUCUAUGUGAAAGGACUCCUCCUUGACUCUAAUGAAA
rnacentral:lncRNA from 1 species